rnacentral:tRNA from 1 species
GGACGCUUAGCUCAGUUGGUAGAGCGUUGCGUUUACAUCGCAAAUGUCGGGGGUUCGAGCCCCUCAGCGUCCACCA